ACGCGCCCCAGGCGCACCCAGAAACCCUUUGUGAACUUAUACCUAUUGUUGCCUCGGCGUUAGCUGGUCUCUAUGAGGCCCCCUGGAGACAGGGAGCGGCGCGCCGGCGGCCCACUCAACUCUGUUUCUUUGUGAAUCUCUGAGUAAAAAACAAAUGAAUCAAAACUUUCAACAACGGAUCUCUUGGUUCUGGCAUCGAUGAAGAACGCAGCGAAAUGCGAUAAGUAAUGUGAAUUGCAGAAUUCAGUGAAUCAUCGAAUCUUUGAACGCACAUUGCGCCCUCUGGUAUUCCGGAGGGCAUGCCUGUUCGAGCGUCAUUUCAACCCUCAAGCCUGGCUUGGUGUUGGGGCACUGCUUUCUGACGAGAGCAGGCCCUGAAAUUCAGUGGCGAGCUCGCCAGGACUCCGAGCGUAGUAGUAUAUCUCGUUCUGGAAGGCCUGGCGGUGCCCUGCCGUUAAACCCCAACUUUUGAAAAUUUGACCUCGGAUCAGGUAGGAAUACCCGCUGAACUUAAGCAUAU
rnacentral:sRNA from 1 species